rnacentral:rRNA from 1 species
AACUCCGUGCCAGCAGCCGCGGUAAUACGGAGGGUGCGAGCGUUAAUCGGAAUUACUGGGCGUAAAGCGCGCGUAGGCGGCUCUUUAAGUCGGAUGUGAAAGCCCCGGGCUCAACCUGGGAACUGCAUCCGAUACUGGAGGGCUAGAGUGUAGGAGAGGGAGGUAGAAUUCCAUGUGUAGCAGUGAAAUGCGUAGAUAUAUGGAGGAAUACCAGUGGCGAAGGCGGCCUCCUGGCUUAACACUGACGCUGAGGUGCGAAAGCGUGGGGAGCAAACGGGAUUAGAUACCCCGGUAGUCCACGCCGUAAA